CGUCUUCCUCGCCCACCUCCCGACUGCGCCCACGCCCAUCAUCUCGGCCACCUCCCGGAGCCCCCGUCCCCACAGCCGCGCCGGCCCCCGUCUUACCACGCGUCGUCCCUCCAUCUCCCCUGUGCGCAACCAAACUGGUGCCGCACACAGCUGCCGCACGUCCUUCCGGCCCGGCUGCUCCACCCCCCUCCAGCUAGCUACUCCAACCAUGGCGCGGUGGCCAGAUCCAAUCUAUAUGGCGUGAUGGCAACCAAAUCCAUGACGGGAAAGAGACCCAGUGGUUCCCACCGUCUCAAGCAGGUAUGUGUCCUCCCCUCAUCCCCUCUCGCGAGCACCUCGAUGUUGUCUCACGGGUCCAGCCCCUUCGCAGCCGCCGGCCACCUGCAGCAGCCCCAGGGUUGACGGCGUCUCCCAGGCUGCCGCACAGUCCUGCUCUGGCGGCCUCGACCUGCAGCUCUGGCACAUGGUACAGGACGCGUCGCUGCUAUUCCCGUGAGGAUCCACUGAGUUGACGAUGUUGAAUCAGCUGUAGCUUCCAGACCAAUCAUGUAGUUAUGGAGGACGCCCCCUUCCAUUGUGGAGAUGGUUUCACCUAUGCUACAAGGGAUUUCAUUUCUCGUUGAAAAAUUCUGUUAGUCCUUCCUGAUUUGCACGUGGUAAUACAACUGCUGAACAUCAGUUCCCUCUCAUCAUCCAUUGUGAAGGUUUAAGGACAUACAUAGGACAUGACAGUUCUCUAAUGAGUAGCUAACUGAUCGCACUUUUUUUCUCAAUGCUCUUUUUUCCAGUUAGUAACAUACUGUCAGCGAUCAUUUGGUGUUGAUAUUUCAACCUCUCCCUUAAUUUAUCCCUUGAUUCUCUCUUCCAGUGUAUGAUCUUUGGUGAGUCCUACUGGAUGGAAGAAGCUGCAAUAAUGUGUGAGUAAUGGAUGUUGGUUGCCUUUCUGAGAAACCAUAGAAGCUCUCAGGUAAAAAAUACACGCAAGAUGAUUAUUUUGAAGUACUGAUGCACCUUGCAAUACAUGUAUCUGUUUUGUAUUCAUCCACUAUGGAUUAUGACUAUUUAUUUGUUGUUCCCCUUUAUAUAUAGAAGUGUGUUUUCCGAGUCGGGUUUUCUGACAACUAUAGCCUGUGGGACAUGAUAAGAAUAUUUUCUCUACAUUUAUAAAGGACCAAAAUGUCGAUUGAUUAUAUGUUUUUAGAUUAUUUAUGUUUCUCUUCAAUACUACAUGUACUAUCUCUGCUGACUGACAUUUUUCUUUUGCCAUCAAUAGUAGCACUGAAAAUCAAUGAAAUUCAUCUGCUUGCAUGUUCAGUUAGCUUGGCUUGAUUCCUGUUUGCAGAAUCUAACUUUCCCUUUCCAUCGAGGGUUUCCUCUGCUCUAUAAUUUUCUUCUAUUUCCUCAUCCAAAUUGUGUUUAAAUGAUAGGCAACAUUGUGAAUUAUGACCAACUAGCUAUGGUUUAGUACGGUAUGGCUUUGUUAUGGCUCAUUUCAUUGACCAGUGUAUGGUUGGUUGUUACCAUCUUAAACCCAUAUUUUGAGACCACGGAGAAAAGAAGGGCAACAAAGCUUUAGUUUUUGGGAUAUUAUUAUCAUAUAGUGAGCAUGCUAAGCCACAACUAAGUCUUCUUGCAUGUUGUCGUAAUGUGUAAUUGGAUGUUAAGCUAAUAACUUGAUAGAUGAAAUUUAGUCGAUCUUGCUGUAUAAAUUCUAGCAUGGUGCAGACUGAUAGCUGAAAUUUUAGUCUAUGUUGCACUAUAAAUUCUGGCAAUGCAGUUGAUCUUGCCGUAUAAUUUCUGGCAUAGUGCAGACCAUACAACACCACGACGAUGGUCGAUGGACACCAUUAUGUAAAAAAAAUCUCAACAGUGCUAUCUUGCAUUUGUUGCAUCUCUGCAUUAGGUAAACAUCCUUUUUUAUUCUUACUUGCCUUACUUGAUAUGAGCAGCAGCAGAUCGUUGUCCACAUGCUAAUUGCCAAACCGUGUGCUGCUACAAGUCGUGGGCCUUUUAUGAGCGGCAACAGAACAACGUCAUCUAAGCAUGGAUCAAAAUGGACACUCCAAGGCUACAAGGACAAAUGCAAUCCCGCACAUACAUCUCCGAUGACAAUCUGGUCCCAACAUAGGCAUCGACUGAAGAGAAGGUAGCUCAGACCACACUAUCCUAACUUUGUGAUCAUCACCGCAUAGUCAUCCAAUACCACAACUAUGAGGCGCUCAACACAAUAACCCACACCUGCUCCACAGCUUGAGACUGGGCAAGGACGUAAUAUUGGAAACUCAAUAUGUCUCAGUAGCAAUCUCUCUCUCUCUCUCUCUCUCUCUCUCUCUCUCUCUCUCUCUCUCUCUCUCUCCCUCUCUCUCCCUCUCUCCCUCCCUCCCUCCCUCCCUCCCUCAGUAGAGAGGUUUUUUGUGGUUAGGAUGUACUGCUAUAUAUCUUGGUCGUUUUAUUUAGCAUAAUUGAGAAACGAUAGAAGGGUAGAAUGGACUGUUUGACAUAGGUAUGACUAUAGCAGAUCAAUAAAUGGGCAUUUUAGUAUUGUCCCACUGAUAGAAGAGUUCACUAACCAACUGAAUAUACUGAGCGGUUGUGUGUGAUACCUAUUGUCGACAUGGUAACAUGAUAAUCAGAUAUUUACAUGCAACCACAAUGGUAUGAUGUUAAUUUGAUAACUUGUUAGUUUUUCUGGACAGUAAUGUGAUGUGUUCCCUUUGGUUUUGUUCGACCCUAACAUACACAAGCAUGUCUGUAGAAAUCUUUAUGCUAUCAAACUCUUAAGUUCUAUUUGUAAAUCUGCUAACUUAAAUUUUAUUCAAUUGAGUAAAUGGAGUUCUUACAGAUCGUAUCAUGUUUUGGUUUGUAGGUUGGAAACUUCAAGUCUUAAGUUUGUUAAUGAGAGCAAUGCAAAAUUCUAAAGGGUCUGGCGUGUAAGCAAAACAGGUGUAUGUCUAUCUGUCGGCUGGAAACCGUAUUUAGGUGCUGUAGAAGCUCUAAAUAAUUAGUUUUUUCUUGCUUUCAAGGUGCCAUUUUAUUUCAGGAUUCGCUGAAGUAAUCAAGUAAUGUGGAGCUGUUGCUCAUUCAAAUAUUAUAUUUUCUUAUUGACUAUCCAUCCCUAUUAGUGUUGUACUUGAAGGAAAUAUGCCGUAGAGGCAAUAAUAAAGUUGUUAUUUAUAUUUCCUUAUAUCAUGAUAAAUGUUUAUUAUUCAUGCUAGAAUUGUAUUAACCGGAAACUUAGUACAUGUGUGAAUACAUAGACAAAACAAAGUGUCCCUAGUAUGCCUCUACUUGACUAGCUCGUUAAUCAAAUAUGGUUAAGUUUCCUGAUCAUAGACAUGUGUUGUCAUUUGAUGAACGGGAUCACAUCAUUAGAGAAUGAUGUGAUGGACAAGACCGAUCCUUAGCUUAGCAUAAUGAUCGUUAAGUUUUAUUGCUA
rnacentral:lncRNA from 1 species